UACGUAGGGUGCAAGCGUUAAUCGGAAUUACUGGGCGUAAAGCGUGCGCAGGCGGUUCUAUAAGACAGAUGUGAAAUCCCCGGGCUCAACCUGGGAACUGCAUUUGUGACUGUAGAGCUGGAGUGCGGCAGAGGGGAUGGAAUUCCGCGUGGUAGCAGUGAAAUGCGUAGAUAUGCGGAGGAACACCGAUGGCGAAGGCAAUCCCCUGGGCCUGCACUGACGCUCCAUGCACGAAAGCGUGGGAGCAACAGG
rnacentral:rRNA from 1 species